GACGAACGCUGGCGGCGUGCCUAAUACAUGCAAGUCGAACGCAGUGGGGACGGGUGAGUAACACGUGGGUAACCUCCCAUCAGAGGGGAUAACACUUGGAAACAGGUGCUAAACCGAUACUGAUGGAUGGAGUCGCGGUGCAUUAGCUAGUUGGUGGGGUAACGGCUCACCAAGGACACGAUGCAUAGCCGACCGUAGUGGGUGAUUGGCCACACUGGGACUGAGACACGGCCCAGACUCCUACGGUAGGCAGCAGUAGGGAAUCUUCUGCAAUGUACGAAAGUCUGACCGAUCAACGCCGCGUGAGUGAAGAAGGUUUUCGGAUCGUAAAACUCUGUUGUUAGAGAAGCGGUAUCUAACCAGAAAGCCACGGCUAACUACGUGCCAGCAGCCGCGGUAAUUC
rnacentral:rRNA from 1 species